rfam:Parcubacteria bacterium GW2011_GWB1_41_6 TT71_C0001, whole genome shotgun sequence.
GGCAGGGUAGCUCAGUUGGUUAGAGCGGAGGACUCAUAAACCUCAGGUCGUGGGUUCAAAUCCCACCCCUGCCA